rnacentral:rRNA from 1 species
AGAGUUUGAUCCUGGCUCAGGUUGAACGCUGGCGGUAUGCUUAACACAUGCAAGUCGAACGAAGUUUGGGUGGCAACACUUAAACUUAGUGGCGGACGGGUGCGUAACGCGUAAGAACCUACCUUUUGGAAGGGGAUAACAAUGGGAAACCGUUGCUAAUACCCUAUACAGCUGAGGAGCGAAAGGUGAAAACCACCAAAAGAGGGGCUUGCGUCUGAUUAGCUAGUUGGGGAGGUAAUGGCUUCCCAAGGCCAUGAUCAGUAGCUGGUCUGAGAGGAUGAUCAGCCACACUGGGACCGAGACACGGCCCAGACUCCUACGGGAGGCAGCAGUGAGGAAUUUUCCGCAAUGGGCGAAAGCCUGACGGAGCAAUACCGCGUGGAGGAUGAAAGCCCGUGGGUCGUAAACUCCUUUUCUCAGAGAAGACAAAAGGACGGUAUCUGAGGAAUAAGCUCCGGCUAAUUCUGUGCCAGCAGCCGCGGUAAUACAGGGGGAGCAAGCGUUAACCGGAAUGAUUGGGCGUAAAGCGUCUGUAGGUGGCUUUUUAAGUCUACUGUCAAAACCCAGAGCUUAACUUUGGACCGGCAGUGGAAACUGAGGAGCUUGAGUGCGGUAGAGGCAGAGGGAAUUCCUAGUGGAGCAGUGAAAUGCGUAGAGAUUAGGAAGAACACCCGUGGCGAAGGCGCUCUGCUGGGCCGCAACUGACACUGAGAGACGAAAGCUAGGGGAGCAAAUGGGAUUAGAUACCCCAGUAGUCCUAGCCGUAAACGAUGGAAACUAAGUGCUGUCACUCAACAGUGCUGUAGCUAACGCGUUAAGUUUCCCGCCUGGGGAGUACGCUCGCAAGAGUGAAACUCAAAGGAAUUGACGGGGACCAGCACAAGCGGUGGAUUAUGUGGUUUAAUUCGAUCAACGCGAAGAACCUUACCAGGGUUUGACAUGGCAAGAAUCUCCUCGAAAGGGGAGAGUGCCUGAAAAGGAACUUGUACACAGGUGGUGCACGGCUGUCGUCAGCUCGUGUCGUGAGAUGUAUGGUUAAGUCCCAUAACGAGCGCAACCCUUGUCUCUAGUUGUUUUCUCUAGAGAGACUGCCAGUGUAAGCUGGAGGAAGGAGAGGAUGACGUCAAGUCAGCACGCCCCUUACACCCUGGGCGACACACGUAAUACAAUGGUCGGGACAAUCUGUAGCAACCUCGCGAGAGUUCGCCAACCGGGAAAACCCGACCUCAGUUCGGAUUGUAGGCUGCAACUCGCCUGCAUGAAGCCGGAAUCGCUAGUAAUCGCCGGUCAGCCAUACGGCGGUGAAUACGUUCCCUGGUCUUGUACACACCGCCCGUCACAUCGCGAAAGCAAAUUUCACUCGAAGUCGGUAUCCUAACCGUUUGGAGGGAGCCGCCCACAGUGGGGUUCGUGAUCAUGAUGAAGUCGUAACAAGGUA